AUGUCGGGGAGCCGUCCUCUGGUCGUUGACAUGGAGGCAGCCCGCAAGGCCAUUGGUGGUUUCCUCGUGGUUGGACGCCUCCUCUCUCCUUUCCAGGUCAGCCCAAGGGUCAUCCUCGAUGAUCUUCGAAACACGGCUUGGAAGAACCAAGGGGUGACCACCCUCCAAGAGGUGGCCAGCGACGACGGGAGGUUCAUCCUCAACUUUGCCGCUGAAAGUGACCGUCGGUUUGUGCUUCAGGCGCAGCCAUGGCACUUCAAGCGGGAUGGGCUCAUCUUCGCUGAGUUCGAUGGCAAGGGCGACCCGGCGGAGGUAGACCUUGGCGUCAUGACCAUAUGGGUCCAGGUACGAGAUCUGCCGUUCGUGCUUAAGACGGAAAGUAUAGGGUGGUCUCUAGAGGAUCAAUUGGGUGAGGUGCUGGAGGUAUCGCACCGUAACCAUGUAAUCGUUGAAAAAUAUUUGCGUGUGCGCGUGAAGCUCCUACUGCAUGAACCUCUGAAGACUUAUGUAGAGUUUACCCCCUUAGGUAGUUCAAAGAUACUUAAAUUUGAUGUAAAAUAUGAGAAGCUUCCUUUGUACUGUGAGUGUUGUGGGAUUGUGGGUCAUACUUCUGAGAGAUUUUGUAAAAUCCCAAGUGAGAAGAGAGUAGUUUGCUUCCCUAGAAAUCUUAGUGUUGAG
rnacentral:rRNA from 1 species